UGGCGGGAGGGUGAGUAAUGUCUGGGAAACUGCCUGAUGGAGGGGGGUAACUAUGGAAACGGUAGCUAAUACCGCAUAACGUCGCAAGACCAAAGAGGGGGACCUUCGGGCCUCUUGCCAUCGGAUGUGCCCAGAUGGGAUUAGCUAGUAGGUGGGGGAAGGGCUCACCUAGGCGACGAUCCCUAGCUGGUCUGAGAGGAUGACCAGCCACACUGGAACUGAGACACGGUCCAG
rnacentral:rRNA from 1 species